AAACUGUUUUCCAAAGUAGCUGUACCAUUUGCAUUCC
rnacentral:miRNA from 1 species